AGCAUCCCAUAUGGGUGCUUGGUUUUGUAUCCUGGAAAGGCUCCCACUUCUUUUCCAGCUCCCUGCUAAUGGCCUUGGAAAAGAAGUGGAAUAUGGCCCAAGUGCUUGGGCCCCUACCACCCACAUGGUGACCUGGAAGAAGCUCCUGGCUCCUGGCUUGGAUUUGGCCUAACCCUGGCCAUUGUGGCUAUCUGGGGAAUGAACCAGCUGAUGGAAGAUUCUCUUUCUCUGUCUCUGUCUCUCUCUCUCUAUUUCUCUCUUUCUCUCUCCCUCCCUCCCUCUCUUUAACUCUGACUUUCAAAUAAUUAAUUAAUUAAUUAAUAAUUGCCAAAUGAUCAAAUGACAUUGGUUUCAGUCAGUCUUUAGAAAUGGCUGUCAUAAAGCAAUGAAUAGAAUUUUAUGUGACCCAACAAAGGCCUAAAUUGGAAUGUGAAUAGAAAUAAUGGACCAAAAAGAAAUUCACUGUAGCCUUGACUUGUCACGAUAUUUUGAAUUCCUGAUGAAAAAAUAUUUUGAGUCAGUUAAAUUUCUGAUGUAGAAAACAUCUGUUUAUACACCAAGUGCAUACCCAGUGUAUUCAUAUUAAUAUUAUAAAUUGACAUGAGAAUAAUUCAUUCAACCAAAUUAUUUGAUUUUUCCACUGUCAGAAAAACUUUAAAAUUCGUUACCUUAAUUUCUUCUUACACAUUUAGAUUCAACUCACUUUGAAUCUAGAGCAGAAGUUAGUGUGCUUUUCUUGUGACCCAAACCUACCUCGGAGCCUGUUUUCAUAUGAACUGUGUCUCUUUAAAUCUACGGAGGACAAUAUUCCUUCUGGCCCACAGGAUGCCAAAAUGACUUGAUGAUUUAUUUAUGCAGCGCUUGGCAGCCCAUAGUCCAGAUUGUGGCUGAAGCUGAAUUUUAUGAGCCUUCCCCUACAGUUUAUCUGGUCAUUCAACAACUGUUUAUUGGGCUUCUUACCGUGUACCCGGAAGUAUUCCAGACUCAGGGGACUGCGAGGAGCAGAGAGACACUGUCACAUCGCUCCAGGAGCAGACAUUUCAGAGGAGGCAGAUGGAUGACAAACAGGUGA
rnacentral:lncRNA from 1 species